UACGUGGGGAGCAAGCGUUGUCCGGAAUCAUUGGGCGUAAAGAGCGUGUAGGCGGUCCGGUAAGUCCGUUGUGAAAGUCGAGGGCUCAACCCUCGAAUGCCGGCGGAUACUGUCGGACUAGAGUCCGGAAGAGGCGAGUGGAAUUCCUGGUGUAGCGGUGAAAUGCGCAGAUAUCAGGAGGAACACCAAUUGCGAAGGCAGCUCGCUGGGACGUUACUGACGCUGAGACGCGAAAGCGUGGGGAGCAAACAGG
rnacentral:rRNA from 1 species